CCUACGUGUGGCUGCAGUGAGGAAUCUUGGUCAAUGGGCGCUACCCUGACCCAGUCAAGCCGCGUGAAGGAUGACUGCCCUAUGGGUUGUCAACUUCUUUUAUAUGGGAAUAAAGUGCAGUAUGUAUACUGCUUUUCAUGUACCUUAUGAGUAAGGAUCGGCUCACUCCGGGCCAGCAGCCGCGGUAAUACGGAGGAUCCGAGCGUUAUACGGAUUUAUUGGGGUUAAAGGGUGCGUAGGUUGGUUUUUAAGUCAGCGGUGAAAGUUUGUGGCUCAACCAUAAAUUUGGCGUUGACACUGGAAGUCUUGGGUGUGUUGGGGGUAAGCGGAAGGCGUGGUGUAGCGGUGAAAAG
rnacentral:rRNA from 1 species